UAGGCAUGCUGGAGCUCCGCAGCGGCGCCCGGGUCGUAUAGCCCGACACCGUAUACCCAUCGGAGCUUUU
rfam:Rhizobium gallicum bv. gallicum R602, complete genome.